ACACCCGUUUUAUUGCUGUUAGUGGGUUUGAGCCGAGCUUAGCCUUGUUCAUUUUUUUUCACAAUAGCCAUGUAAAAAAUUAAACACACACCACUGAGCACCGCACAGGCAAAGGCUUUCACGAUCACUGAAAAGCCCCGAAACGCCCUGAAAUUGGCCAUGCAGCACCUUUUUGGGGCAA
rnacentral:sRNA from 1 species